GAGGUAUUUUCAAAUUCUGACGGAGCUGGUGGUAUUGCUCAACGUCAUUUUACACAGCCAUAUCAGUUUGGAGGGGAUGCUGAAUUCAGGCAUAGCGGUGUAUAGGCAUCUCCUUUUAGUGCUCAAGGUCUGAAAUU